rnacentral:tRNA from 1 species
ACAUAUUUAGUUUAUUAAAGAAUUAGAAUUUGUCGUGUUCUGGGUGAUUGUAUUAUGAUCAGUAUGUU